UGAAAAAAAGUCUGGCCUGCUCACUGUUAAGAGCCGCGGUAUUUUGACUGUGCGAAGGUAGCAUAAUCAUUAGUCUUUUAAUUGGGGACUGGAAUGAAAGGUUUGAUGAGUAAUAACUGUUUUGUUUUGAAAUUAGAAUUAUUGUAAAAAUACAUAUGGGACGAUAAGACCCUAUCGAGCUUAAUAAUUUUACUGGGGUGGUAAAUAAAUUUGGAAAAGCUACCGUAGGGAUAACAGUGUAAUUUAUUUGGAAAGGUCAUAUUGAUAAAUAAGAUUACUACCUCGAUGUUGAAUUAAAACUUUAAGGUGCAAGACUUUUAAAAUUUUACA
rnacentral:rRNA from 1 species